GACUCCUACGGGACGCAGCAGUGAGGAAUAUUGGUCAAUGGGCGGAAGCCUGAACCAGCCAAGUCGCGUGAGGGAAUAAGGCCCUACGGGUCGUAAAGCUCUUUUGCCGGGGAGCAAGGGCGGGGACGUGUCCCGGCCCGGAGAGUACCCGGAGAAAAAGCAUCGGCUAACUCCGUGCCAGCAGCCGCGGUAAUACGGAGGAUGCGAGCGUUAUCCGGAUUUAUUGGGUUUAAAGGGUGCGUAGGCGGGCUUUUAAGUCAGCGGUAAAAAUUCGGGGAUCAACCCCCGCCGGCCGUUGAAACUGG
rnacentral:rRNA from 1 species